rnacentral:rRNA from 1 species
UACGUAGGGUGCAAGCGUUGUCCGGAAUUAUUGGGCGUAAAGAGCUCGUAGGCGGUUUGUCGCGUCGAAUGUGAAAACCCGGGGCUCAACCCCGGGCCUGCAUUCGAUACGGGCGGACUAGAGUUCGGUAGGGGAGUCUGGAAUUCCUGGUGUAGCGGUGAAAUGCGCAGAUAUCAGGAGGAACACCGGUGGCGAAGGCGGGACUCUGGGCCGAUACUGACGCUGAGGUGCGAAAGCGUGGGGAGCAAACAGG